AUUGAACGCUGGCGGCAGGCCUAACACAUGCAAGUCGAACGAGUGGCGGACGGGUGAGUAAUGUCUGGGAAACUGCCUGAUGGAGGGGGAUAACUACUGGAAACGGUAGCUAAUACCGCCUAACAUCAGAUGUGCCCCGAUGGGAUUAGCUAGUUGGUGGGGUAACGGCUCACCAAGGCGAGGAUCCCUAGCUGGUCUGAGCGGAUGCAAAUCCACACUGGAACUGACACAUGUUCCAGACUCCUACGGUAUGCAGCAGUUGGUAGUAUUGCACAAUGGGCGCAAGCCUGAUGCAGCCCUGCCGCGUGUAUGAAGAAGGCCUUCGGGUUGUAAAGUACUUUCAGCGGGUAGGCGUUACCCGCAGAAGAAUCACCGGCUAACUCCGUGCCAGCAGCCGCGGUAAUAC
rnacentral:rRNA from 1 species